rnacentral:lncRNA from 1 species
AAGGGCAGGGGAGGUUUCUGGUCUGACAAGGUACUCUGGGGCAGGGAGCCUCCAGGGCAUAAGUCCCAGAAUUGUGGAAGUGAGGCCUGGCAUUUACAGUAGGUGUCCGGAAAAGUGACCUUUUUUUUCAUCUCUCAGUGCUGUCUGGCUUGUCACAAAAAGUGUUUGGAGACCCUGGCUAUCCAGUGUGGUCACAAGAAGCUUCAGGGCCGCCUGCAGCUGUUUGGUCAAGACUUCAGCCAGGCAGCCCACAGCACCCCUGAUGGGGUGCCCUUCAUUAUUAAAAAGUGUGUCUGUGAGAUUGAGCGGCGGGCACUGCACACUAAGGUGAGGUCCUGGGACAGGAGGGGUUUAGCGGAGAACCCAGAGGACCUGGAGCUGGUUCAAGUCUAGGCUUGAGGGUAAUUGUUGGCUCCCCAGGGGAUCUACCGGGUCAACGGCGUGAAAACGCGUGUGGAGAAGCUGUGCCAGGCCUUUGAGAAUGGCAAAGAGCUGGUGGAGUUGUCACAGGCCUCACCGCACGACAUAAGCAAUGUCCUGAAGCUGUACCUACGGCAGCUGCCGGAGCCCCUCAUCUCUUUUCGCUUCUACCAUGAGCUGGUGGGAUUAGCUAAGGACAGCCUAAAGGCAGAGGCCGAAGCCAAGGCAGCAAGCCGGGGCCG